rnacentral:rRNA from 1 species
GUCUCAGGCCGUAUCAGCCUGAAGGCGCCCGAUCUCGUCUGAUCUCGGAAGCUAAGCAGGGUCGGGCCUGGUUAGUAUCUUGGGAUGGGGAGACCACCUGGGAAUCCCGGGUGCUCGAGGCU